rnacentral:tRNA from 1 species
GCAGGCGUAACCAGCUUCCCAAGCUGGACGUCACGAGUUCGAAUCUCGUCGCCUGCU